GCGAAGUGAGCGAGGCAGGCCGACCUGAGUCGCGACGUGCACUGUUUUGAGGUGAUUCGUAAACUUAGGCAGGCCAACUCGAGACGAGACGCAAGGUGUACCGAAGUGAGACGCCCAUCCGGAGGAGGACUUCGCUGGGACAAAAUAGAAUAUUGAAUUAUUAUUUUGACUUAUUUUGUACAUAAUUUAGAAUUAAUAGAUUUGCUUUGUUUUCAA
rnacentral:lncRNA from 1 species